CCUACGGGUGGCAGCAGUGGGGAAUAUUGGGCAAUGGACGCAAGUCUGACCCAGCAACGCCGCGUGAAGGAAGAAGGCUUUCGGGUUGUAAACUUCUUUUAAGGGGGAAGAGAAGAAGACGGUACCCCUUGAAUAAGCCACGCCUAACUACGUGCCAGCAGCCGCGGGAAUACGUAGGUGGCAAGAGUUGCCCGGAUUUACUGGGUGUAAAGGGCGUGCAGCCGGAAAGACAAGUCAGAUGUGAAAUUCACGGGCUCAACCCGUGACCUGCGUUUGAAACUGGUUCCCUUGAGUGUCGGAGAGGUAAGCGGAAUGCGUUGUGUAGCGGUGAAAUGCGUAGAUAUAAGGAAGAACACCAGUGGCGAAGGCGGAUUACUGGACGAUAACUGACGGUGAGGCGCGAAAGCGUGGGGAGCAAACAGGAUUAGAUACCCGAGUAGUC
rnacentral:rRNA from 1 species